UGGGGAAUUUUGGACAAUGGGCGAAAGCCUGAUCCAGCAAUGCCGCGUGUGUGAAGAAGGCCUUCGGGUUGUAAAGCACUUUUGUCCGGAAAGAAAUCCUUGGCUCUAAUACAGUCGGGGGAUGACGGUACCGGAAGAAUAAGCACCGGCUAACUACGUGCCAGCAGCCGCGGUAAUACGUAGGGUGCAAGCGUUAAUCGGAAUUACUGGGCGUAAAGCGUGCGCAGGCGGUUUGCUAAGACCGAUGUGAAAAUCCCCGGGCUCAACCUGGGAACUGCAUUGGUGACUGGCAGGCUAGAGUAUGGCAGAGGGGGGUAGAAUUCCACGUGUAGCAGUGAAAAUGCGUAGAGAUGUGGAGGAAUACUGAUGGCGAAGGCAGCCCCCUGGGCCAAGUACUGACGCUCAUGCACGAAAAGCGUGGGGAGCAAAACAGGAUUAGAUACCCUGGUAGUCCACGCCCUAAAACGAUGUCAACUAGUUGUUGGGGAUUCAUUUCCUUAGUAACGUAGCU
rnacentral:rRNA from 1 species